CAUAGGAUUGUUACAAGGAUUAAAUGAGAUCGCCCUCGAAAAGCACAAGGCACAGUGCCUGGCACAGCAUAAAUACUCAAUAAGUACAAUUAGGUGACCUGGCUUUGUUCUCAGCAGGGCCUAGGUCAGAAGCUCCCUUCCCUGCUGUCUUUACACAGAUGUUAGCCCUGUGGAGACAGAACUCCAGGUGAUUGGACCAUAGGUGGACAUCUGACCCUAAGGAAAGCAGUCAUUUGAAGGCAGAAUCAGCUACACUGAAAAGCGAGUCCCUGUCUCAAAAAAACAAAACAAACAAGCAAAUAAUCAGCUACACUGUCUUCCAGGACUUUAGACAAAGAAAGAAAGAGGGAACAAUAGAUAUUUUUCAGAUUUCAAGGGACACAUUUUACAUUGUACAUGCACUUGUAGUGCCUGGCAUCAUCUUGUGGCUUCUCAGUGAAUCAGCUGGAUGUGAAUGUGGUCCGUGAAUGGAGGUUUUGGGCUCUCUGGAGGCUCCUUCAUUGUGAUGAAUACAGACCAAGUCUGCCUGACAAACAAAGAAUUUCCUGGCAAUUUAGAGUUGUUUACAGAAUUGAAGAAAGGCUGAAAAUCUCAAAGACUGGCAGGAAGCAGGGAGUUCUGAGGUGGCAAGAAUGAAGGAACCAUGCAUACUUUCAGAAUUGCCCUUGCCUAGAAUGAACUCCUGCAGCCCAUCAGUCUUCUCAAGAUUCCAUUUCCAGGUAAAGAGUAUGGGCCUGGCCUAGGUCAAACCAUCAGCCAGAGUAGGAUAAGACUUUUGACUGAUAGCCCCACCAAAUUGUAUCCACUCAUGAAGGUCUUAUCCCUCUACCAAAAAACC
ensembl:lncRNA